rnacentral:rRNA from 1 species
AUUGAACGCUGGCGGCAGGCCUAACACAUGCAAGUCGAGCGGAUGACGGGAGCUUGCUCCUUGAUUCAGCGGCGGACGGGUGAGUAAUGCCUAGGAAUAUGCCUGGUAGUGGGGGACAACGUUUCGAAAGGAACGCUAAUACCGCAUACGUCCUACGGGAGAAAGCAGGGGACCUUCGGGCCUUGCGCUAUCAGAUGAGCCUAGGUCGGAUUAGCUAGUUGGUGGGGUAAUGGCUCACCAAGGCGACGAUCCGUAACUGGUCUGUAGAGGAUGAUCAGUCACACUGGAACUGAGACACGGUCCAGACUCCUACGGGAGGCAGCAGUGGGGAAUAUUGGACAAUGGGCGAAAGCCUGAUCCAGCCAUGCCGCGUGUGUGAAGAAGGUCUUCGGAUUGUAAAGCACUUUAAGUUGGGAGGAAGGGCAGUAAGUUAAUACCUUGCUGUUUUGACGUUACCGACAGAAUAAGCACCGGCUAACUCUGUGCCAGCCGCCGCGGUAAUAC